GCUGGGGGAUGAUGCAAUAGUCCUUUGGACUCCAUGAGAGUAGCAAGAGGAGAGGGACACAUUAAAGAGGAUCAGCCACUGGGCCAAGAAAAGCUUGCCUACUCAGGGCGGGAGGAGGCUUUCUCUUCCUUUACCUUCCAGACUACUGUGAAGUAAGAGGAAUUCCAGAGCAAGAGAGAAAAAGAAGGAUGCACAACAACUUACCAGCUAAUUUCUCAGAAGAGGAGAGAGUAUCAACCAUGAAGGAAAGUCCUGCAGCUGAAGGAAGGCCUAAAACCAGCCCACAGAAUCUUGUCAAUAUUUUAUGAUAUUUUGGUGUGUUGUUCACAUUGUGUUGAUUGGAGGUGAACUUGCUGUUGUUCGGUUA